rnacentral:rRNA from 1 species
UGAGGAAUUUUGGACAAUGGGCGAAAGCCUGAUCCAGCCAUGCCGCGUGAGUGAAGAAGGCCUUCGGGUUGUAAAGCUCUUUUAGUCGGAAAGAAAGAGUUGCAAUGAAUAAUUGUGAUUUAUGACGGUACCGACAGAAAAAGCACCGGCUAACUACGUGCCAGCAGCCGCGGUAAUACGUAGGGUGCGAGCGUUAAUCGGAAUUACUGGGCGUAAAGGGUGCGCAGGCGGUCUUGCAAGUCAGAUGUGAAAGCCCCGGGCUUAACCUGGGAAUUGCGUUUGAAACUACAAGACUAGAGUGCAGCAGAGGGGAGUGGAAUUCCAUGUGUAGCAGUGAAAUGCGUAGAGAUGUGGAAGAACACCGAUGGCGAAGGCAGCUCCCUGGGUUGACACUGACGCUCAUGCACGAAAGCGUGGGGAGCAAACA